UCGAACGGCAGCAUGAUCUAGCUUGCUAGAUUGAUGGCGAGUGGCGAACGGGUGAGUAAUACAUCGGAACGUGCCCUGUAGUGGGGGAUAACUAGUCGAAAGAUUAUCUAAUACCGCAUACGACCUGAGGGUGAAAGUGGGGGACCGCAAGGCCUCAUGCUAUAGGAGCGGCCGAUGUCUGAUUAGCUAGUUGGUGAGGUAAAGGCUCACCAAGGCGACGAUCAGUAGCUGGUCUGAAAGGACGAUCAGCCACACUGGGACUGAGACACGGCCCAGACUCCUACGGGAGGCAGCAGUGGGGAAUUUUGGACAAUGGGCGAAAGCCUGAUCCAGCAAUGCCGCGUGUGUGAAGAAGGCCUUCGGGUUGUAAAGCACUUUUGUCCGGAAAGAAAUGGCUCUGGUUAAUACCUGGGGUCGAUGACGGUACCGGAAGAAUAAGGACCGGCUAACUACGUGCCAGCAGCCGCGGUAAUACGUAUGGUCCAAGCGUUAAUCGGAAUUACUGGGCGUAAAGCGUGCGCAGG
rnacentral:rRNA from 1 species